GCCAGACCACCAACAGGCACGCCAGACAACCAACAGGCACGCCAGACCACCAACAGGCAUGCCAGACCAUCAACAGUCACGCCAGACCAUCAACAGGCACGCCAGACCACCAACAGGCACGCCAGAAAACCAACAGGCACACCAGACCAUCAACAGGCACGCCAGACCAUCAACAGUCACGCCAGACCAUCAACAGUCACACCAGACCAUCAACAGGCACGCCAGACACCCAACAGGCACGCCAGACCACCAACAGGCACGCCAGACAACCAACAGGCACGCCAGACCACCAACAGGCAUGCC
ensembl:lncRNA